GACGAACGCUGGCGGCGUGCCUAAUACAUGCAAGUAGAACGCUGAAGGAGGAGCUUGCUUCUCUGGAUGAGUUGCGAACGGGUGAGUAACGCGUAGGUAACCUGCCUGGUAGCGGGGGAUAACUAUUGGAAACGAUAGCUAAUACCGCAUAAUAGUAGAUGUUGCAUGACAUUUGCUUAAAAGGUGCAAUUGCAUCACUACCAGAUGGACCUGCGUUGUAUUAGCUAGUUGGUGGGGUAACGGCUCACCAAGGCGACGAUACAUAGCCGACCUGAGAGGGUGAUCGGCCACACUGGGACUGAGACACGGCCCAGACUCCUACGGGAGGCAGCAGUAGGGAAUCUUCGGCAAUGGACGGAAGUCUGACCGAGCAACGCCGAGUGAGUGAAGAAGGUUUUCGGAUCGUAAAGCUCUGUUGUAAGAGAAGAACGAGUGUGAGAGUGGAAAGUUCACACUGUGACGGUAUCUUACCAGAAAGGGACGGCUAACUACGUG
rnacentral:rRNA from 1 species